rnacentral:rRNA from 1 species
CAUAUCAAUAAGCGGAGGAAAAGAAACUAACAAGGAUUCCCCUAGUAACUGCGAGUGAAGCGGGAAAAGCUCAAAUUUAAAAUCUGUCAGUCUUUGACUGUCCGAGUUGUAAUCUAGAGAAGCGUUAUCCGCGCUGGACCGUGUACAAGUCUCCUGGAAUGGAGCGUCAUAGAGGGUGAGAAUCCCGUCUUUGACACGGACUGCCAGGGCUUUGUGAUACGCUCUCAAAGAGUCGAGUUGUUUGGGAAUGCAGCUCAAAAUGGGUGGUAAAUUCCAUCUAAAGCUAAAUAUUGGCGAGAGACCGAUAGCGAACAAGUACCGUGAGGGAAAGAUGAAAAGAACUUUGGAAAGAGAGUUAAACAGUACGUGAAAUUGCUGAAAGGGAAACGCUUGAAGUCAGUCGCGUUGUCCAGGGAUCAACCUUGCUUUUGCUUGGUGUACUUUCUGGUUGACGGGUCAGCAUCAAUUUUGACUAUUGGAAAAAGAUUAAGGGAAUGUGGCAUCUUUGGAUGUGUUAUAGCCCUUGGUUGCAUACAAUGGUUGGGAUUGAGGAACUCAGCACGCCGCAAGGCCGGGUUUUAACCACGUACGUGCUUAGGAUGCUGGCAUAAUGGCUUUAAUCGACCCGUCUUGAAACACGGACCAAGGAGUCUAACAUGCCUGCGAGUGUUUGGGUGGAAAACCCGAGCGCGUAAUGAAAGUGAAAGUUGAGAUCCCUGUCGUAGGGAGCAUCGACGCCCGGACCAGACCUUUUGUGACGGUUCCGCGGUAGAGCAUGUAUGUUGGGACCCGAAAGAUGGUGAACUAUGCCUGAAUAGGGUGAAGCCAGAGGAAACUCUGGUGGAGGCUCGUAGCGAUUCUGACGUGCAAAUCGAUCGUCAAAUUUGGGUAUAGGGGCGAAAGACUAAUCGAACCAUCUAGUAGCUGGUUCCUGCC